GUGGUUGUGGCUCAGUGGUAGUGCUUACCUAGUAGCUGUGAGGCACUGGGUUCAAUCCUCAGCACCACA
rnacentral:tRNA from 1 species